AAAUUUAUUAUUAUUAUUAGUAUUUUUGAUAAGUUCACUAGUUGCCUAUAUCUGUUCAACUGCUUUUCCAUGUCAGUCUUAUUAUAUUACUGGGGAUGCAUCAGAGACCAAUGUGACCGAAAACGUUGCCCUCCCCUCUGAAUAGCGGUUCAGAACGCACAGUCCAGAAUGUCGUACGUUAGAGUACGAAAACAUAAAAAUGGACGAUCCAAAUUUUCUCUUUGAUAUGCUAACUUUACUUAAAUAGAAAGUUAGCUAGUGAUUUAUGGUAUUUAGUUACCUUAAAACUUUACAUCAUAAAUUUUAAAAUUUAAAUUAAAUUUUAAUUGGCUAAAAUUUUUGGAAAAAUAUUAAACAUUCAAUCGAUAUAAACUCCAUUAUAUUACUCAACAAAUUUCUGCUCUUAUAUAUAUAUAUUCUAACGAUCUGAAUAAGUAUAAUCUGCCGUACCAUGACUCCAAAUAGUAUUCCAAUUACACCUACCCCCGACGUACUCUAUAUCUAGAAAAGUACUGUAUUCCGUACCCAUACUCGUCCCAAGAACUAAAGCGAACUAUGAACUAGGUAAUUCUGUAUCAGACAAUAGAUGUCCCAACUGAUAGGCAAUGGAGUAGGACUUUCUGCAAGUCUGAAUUGUUUGUCAAACUUUUUUUUUUAUUCCUUGCCAUGCUGAUCUGAUUGGAUUUGGUGAUUAAGAGCUCUUUAAUGGCCGAUUUUAUUAGCAGCCAACAAGUAAUUAAUAUGAAGGCUUGCUGUGUGAUAGAAUUAGGCAGGACAGCUCACUACAACCUUAUUGCUUUUGCACUUCGUUUAUUACAAUUUCCCUUACUAAAUAAAAUUGCAUAUGCAGGUGAUUAUUCUUGCCAGAGAAU
rnacentral:misc_RNA from 1 species